CCCUAUGGGGUGCAGCAGGCGAGAAAACUUUGCAAUGUGCGAAAGCACGACAAGGUUAAUCCGAGUGGUUUGUGCUAAACGAACCUUUUGUCGGUCCUAGAAACACCGAUGAAUAAGGGGUGGGCAAGUUCUGGUGUCAGCCGCCGCGGUAAAACCAGCACCUCAAGUGGUCAGGAUGAUUAUUGGGCCUAAAGCAUCCGUAGCCGGCUCUGUAAGUUUUCGGUUAAAUCUGUACGCUCAACGUACAGGCUGCCGGGAAUACUGCAGAGCUAGGGAGUGGGAGAGGUAGACGGUACUCGGUAGGAAGGGGUAAAAUCCUUUGAUCUAUUGAUGACCACCUGUGGCGAAGGCGGUCUACCAGAACACGUCUGACGGUGAGGGAUGAAAGCUGGGGGAGCAAACCGGAUUAGAUACCCGGGUAGUCCCAGCUGUAAACUAUGCAAACUCAGUGAUGCAUUGGCUUGUGGCCAAUGCAGUGCUGCAGGGAAGCCGUUAAGUUUGCCGCCUGGGAAGUACGUACGCAAGUAUGAAACUUAAAGGAAUUGGCGGGGGAGCACCACAAGGGGUGAAGCCUGCGGUUCAAUUGGAGUCAACGCCAGAAAUCUUACCCGGAGAGACAGCAGAAUGAAGGUCAAGCUGAAGAUUUUACCAGACAAGCUGAGAAGAGGUGCAUGGCC
rnacentral:rRNA from 1 species